AUGUCCUCCUCCUCCCCGUCCCCGUCGCCGUCCCGCCUGGUGCCGCAGCUCCUGGUCGCCCUCCUCCAGCGCCGCCGCUUCGACUCCGCGCUCCGCCCGUCUCCCACCUUCCGCGGCUUCUCCCCGUCCUCCAUCGCCGCCUCGCUCGCCGCCAUCCCGCGCCUCAUCCUCCCGCGCUCCGCGGGCCGCCUCUGCCCGCAGCGGCCCUUCCCCUCCCCGUCCUCCUCUUACCACCGCCGGGUCGCCGCCGCGCUCACCCUCGCCUUCCUCAACUGGUCCCACUCCGACGCCAUCCCGCACGCCGUCCCGCUCACCGAGGCCCCGCUCCGCGCCGCCGCGCUCUCCCUCGCCCGCGCCCGCGCGCUCCCCGCGCUCUUCGGCCUCCUCCGCGAGCACGCCCCGCUCGUCUCCACCGCCGCGCUCACCGACGUCAUCCGCGCGCUCGGCGAGGAGGGCCUCCCGCGGCAGGCCCUCGCCGCCUUCCACCGCGCGCGCCAGCUCCGGUGCUCCCCGGACGCGCAAUGCUACAACACACUGCUCGCUGCACUGUGCCGGAACGGCCGGUUCAAGGAGGCCAGGUUCCUGCUCGACCAGAUGGAGCGCCCCGGCGCGCGCUGCAAGCCUGACUCCUACACCUACACCGUGCUCAUUUCCUGGUACUGUCGGAUCGGGGCGGGGACUGGGUGCCGGAAGGCCGCCAGGAGAAGGAUCUACGAGGCCGGCAGGGUGUUCCGGAGGAUGGGGGAGAAGGGGCUGGAGCCGGACGUCGUGACCUACAACUGUUAUAUCAAUGGCCUCUGCAAGACGUACCGCGUGGAGCGUGCGCACGAGGUGUUUGAUGGAAUGGUGAAGAAGGGGUGCAUGCCAAACCGGGUGACAUAUAACUCGUUUGUGAGGUAUUACAGUGCGGUGAAUAAGGUUAACAAGGCUAUUGAGUGGAUGAGGGAUAUGGUGGCGAGGGGGCAUGGGGUGGCGACAUCAAGCACGUACACACCUCUUAUACAUUCGCUAUACGAGAGUGGGCGGAUCGGGGAUGCAAGGCGGUUCAUGAUCGAGAUGGUGGAAAGUGGGCACCUCCCCAGGGAACACACCUACAAGCUUGUGAAGGAUGCAACUGAGGGGGCCGACGAGGAGGCCUUGCCAGCAGAGCUGUGUCACUCCAUUGAGGAGGGCAUCAAGGAAAGGUUUCAGCAAGUCAUGCGUAUGAAACCCAUAAUGCGACCAGUGACGAGAUAA
rnacentral:rRNA from 1 species